GGAGGAUGGCUCAGUGGUAGAGCACUUGCCUUGCAUGCAUGAGGCCCUGGGUUCGAUUCCUCAGCACCA
rnacentral:tRNA from 1 species